UGUUUGGACUAGGGGCCCUUCUCGGGUUACCGAAUUCAGAUAAACUCCGAAUGCCAUGUACUUAUACUCGGGAGUCAGACUGCGAGUGAUAAGAUCCGUAGUCGAAAGGGAAACAGCCCAGACCACCAGUUAAGGUCCCCAAAUAUAUGUUAAGUGGAAAAGGAUGUGGGGUUGCUUAGACAACCAGGAUGUUGGCUUAGAAGCAGCCACCAUUGAAAGAGUGCGUAAUAGCUCACUGGUCGAGUGACCCCGCGCCGAAAAUGUACCGGGGCUAAACAUAUUACCGAAACUGUGGAUGAACCUCUUCGGAGGUUCGUGGUAGGAGAGCGUUCUAAGGGCGGUGAAGUCAGACCGGAAGGACUGGUGGAGCGCUUAGAAGUGAGAAUGCCGGUAUGAGUAGCGAAAGAAGGGUGAGAAUCCCUUCCACCGAAUAUCUAAGGUUUCCUGAGGAAGGCUCGUCCGCUCAGGGUUAGUCGGGACCUAAGCCGAGGCCGAUAGGCGUAGGCGAUGGACAACAGGUAGAGAUUCCUGUACCAGUGCUAAUUGUUUAACCGAUGGGGUGACACAGAAGGAUAGGGAAUCGCACGAAUGGAAAUGUGCGUCCAAGCAGUGAGUGUGA
rnacentral:rRNA from 1 species